rnacentral:rRNA from 1 species
AUUGAACGCUGGCGGCAUGCCUUACACAUGCAAGUCGAACGGCAGCACGGACUUCGGUCUGGUGGCGAGUGGCGAACGGGUGAGUAAUGUAUCGGAACGUACCCUUCAGUGGGGGAUAACUAUCCGAAAGGAUAGCUAAUACCGCAUAUUCUCUGAGGAGGAAAGCGGGGGAUCGCAAGACCUCGCGCUGAUGGAGCGGCCGAUAUCAGAUUAGCUAGUUGGUGGGGUAAAGGCCUACCAAGGCGACGAUCUGUAGCGGGUCUGAGAGGAUGAUCCGCCACACUGGGACUGAGACACGGCCCAGACUCCUACGGGAGGCAGCAGUGGGGAAUUUUGGACAAUGGGGGCAACCCUGAUCCAGCCAUGCCGCGUGAGUAAAGAAGGCCUUCGGGUUGUAAAGCUCUUUCGGCCGGGAAGAAAUCGCGUGAGUUAAUACCUUGCGUGGAUGACGGUACCGGAAUAAGAAGCACCGGCUAACUACGUGCCAGCAGCCGCGGUAACAC